ACCUGCUGCAUGCUGCCCCUGCCAGCCGGAGGGCUGGGUCCCAAAUCCCUACUCCCCCCCCAGUUUUCUUUAUUUCUCCAAAGUUUGUGCAGUCUCGUUGCUGUGACCUGCUCUGCUUCAAGGGGGUGUUUUUUGUUUUUUUUCCCCCUCUUAAAAAAAGCAGAAUUGGAUCCGGCACUAAAAAGAUUCUCUUUUUUUAUUCCCCCCCGCCCAGAGGAUUUGAAAUCCCUUUUUUUGGGCGGGGGAAAUGGAUUCGACUCGGUGUCUGGCUGGAAGCAGGAGCCGUUGGGAUGCCAAGGAGCGGAGCGUCCCAAUCCAUACGUUGUUGUUUAAAGCUGGCGGAGAGAUGACGGUGCAGAAAAGUGGAAGUCACGAGCGGCAUCGGACUUCUCAUCCCUUCAGCAGCGUUGAAGAAAAACUCUGGAGCCUGGAAAUGCGACCGGAUUAUUACGGACAGUCUCAAGCGCAUUCCUGUUGAAACAGAAGUUAAAUUGUGUCCAAAGGGAGUCCUGUUUGCAGAACAAACUGAUGCCUCAUUGCAUCCAGUCAAGGUGAGCUGGGGAGGUGAACUUAACAACCCCUGACAUUGGUGAAGUACCUCCAGAGCGGAAUCCCGAGGGGUGCCAUCUCUGUGUGGCGUUCCCAUUGAACUGAGCAUCCGUCUGCUAGGUUUGGGCGCUGCACUUGGCAAGAGAAGCCAUUUUCCUCAAAGAGAUGGCUACUGAAAAUCCUUUGACAUUGGUUUGUAUACAAUUUAUUGAGAACCUAAAAUGGCAGGCGGCUGAUUUUGAAAAAAACAAAAAAAUUGUAAACUAUACUGCAAGAGACGGUUUAAUCGUGUGCAUCUGAAUUGUUCUUUUUGGCUUAAAUAGGUAUUGGUUAAAUUUCUCUCACAUAGACAUUAGGGCUGGAAGGGACCUCGGAAGAUCUUGGAGUCCAGCCCCCUGCCCCAGGGGCAGGAAGACACCACUGUAAUGUACUUGCCUACUGCUCUCUCUCUUCCAGUCAUCUAAACCCCAAUUCAGAAUCCCCACCCCCACCCCCCACCCCCUUUUUUUACCCUCCUCUGGGGAGGGUGGGGGGAAGAUUGCUUUGAACUACAAUGGCUCAGACCUGAGCUUGAAGGAUCCCCUUUUGAAAAGGCAGAAUUUAUUUGCUUUCAUAGUUUGGGUCACAGGGGUGUCCAGCCUGUGGCAUGGGCACCACGAGUGGCAGCCAGCCACAAAUGCCCUGGCAGAUCAGGGAGGGGACAGGCAGUGCAGUGGCAGAUAAGGCAGAAAGCAGAGCAGCAGAUCAGGCUGGGACUUGAAAAUAGAGAAGCAAAUCGCACAAAGGAGGGAGAACAAGGUAAUUGGAGUAGAGCUUGGGAAGGGUGCGGGGGCUAAUUUUGUGGCAUGCCUGGCAAAAAGGUUGUCUCCGGCUAGUACAGGAUUUGAGUUACGCAUGCCCCUGACACCCUUAGUCUGACUGUCAUCUUAAAAGCAAAAUGAGGUUUGACUUAUUUGAAAUGAUUCACUCCUUAGAAAAGAAAAGUAGCUAAGGCAGUGGGUAGGACCAGUCAAGCUAAGCCUCGUUUAGGAAAAGAAAGUCUGGACAAGAAUAAAAAUGGGAUCUGUCUACCUGUAUGUGUUAUAUGUAGAUUACUUGCCGAUAGCAGAAUAGCCUUCACCCUUUUUGAGUGUAUAGCUUGCACGCUGCUGUGAGAACACAAAAUACAUCCCUGCCAACAACAACACCCCAGACAUUUAUGUUUCCAUUAAUUCAGUACAGGCUAUUACAAUUUUUGACAUCCCGAUUCUCAAGUUAUGCUUUAAGAAAUAAAAAAGGUGGGGAACAGAUGAGCAGGACCCCACAGAGGUAUUUGGGGUGUUUGCACACAGGUGAUAGCAUAGGAGAUGUGUGAAGGGGGAGUUCUCUUUACAGCUUGAAUUUGUAAUAUUGUUCUUGUUGAAACACGGGAGGAAGGAGGAGGAAGGUAACUUAGCAUGAUCCCAUCUCAUCACAUGACUAGGAAAAAAUCUCAAGGAUACACAGAAAUAUCAAGCUUACCUUCAUCACCUUUCAUGUCAGUGUAAACAGGGUAACUCCUCUUAAGGCUGCAGACUGGAAAGUCAAUCCAGAGAAUCAAAAAAACCCCAAAAAACAAAACACAUUAUUUUCUCUCCUUCCCUUCACAGGCAUUUUGUUCUCUGUCUGCGUGGGCAGGGAAAUACUGAAAUUGUAGGAAUUUGGGGGGGGGGUGGAUUUCUUCUAUUCGCAUUUAAAUGCAGAAAGAGUUUUACAAAUCUAAACGAGAUGGGUCUUAACAGCCUAAGCACAGAAAAAGAAAGAGUCAUUUCCAAGUUCUGAAAUAAUCUGAAUUUGGACAAUCUCAGUUGGGAGAAUUCAGGGAAAGAGGAAAAUUCAACAUCUUGUGUGCUAUCUAGUAUUUCUGAGGGCAGGUCUUGCCCCUGGCAAAAUCCCUUUAGUAUUCAACCUGGCACCCAGCUGCCAAAAAGUAGUCCUAGAGAAGUAGGGCUGGAAGGGCCAGCCCUCCAGCGGUCAGCUAGUCCAGCCAGCUGCCCAAGGCAGGAUCAGCCCCAUCCAAGCCAUCCCUUACAACCCUAAUCUAACCUGGCAGCGUUGUAUUGCCUAUAUUGCCAGGGGACAAAGUCCUGCACGAGGGAUGAGGACGCAGGCUGGCAAGCCUGAAAAUAUAGUGGGCUCCCGUAAGCCGACUAGGCAUAUUUUGGGGCAAAUAAAAUGCUCCCGCGUCUAACUUUUUGUUUUCAGGCGCAUUUGCAGUUGCUGUAUUCUUGUGUAACAACUUGUUCUCUUAUAGUUUCAGACUGGUAGCACGUGAGUGAAGAACGUAAUGUCAUAUUGGCAAUGUAAAUGCCUUCCUCUGAUCGUAGAGCGCUCUUCCAUCUUAUGGUUGUUUUAUUGUUUGUUUUUUCCCUCUUUCCAAAACCAAAACCAAAAAAAAAAAAA